rnacentral:rRNA from 1 species
CCCCACGUUGGUGGGCUCGUGGUUUAUUCGAAGCAACGCGAAGAACCUUACCAGGUCUUGACAUCCUCUGAAAACCCUAGAGAUAGGGCUUCUCCUUCGGGAGCAGAGUGACAGGUGGUGCAUGGUUGUCGUCAGCUCGUGUCGUGAGAUGUUGGGUUAAGUCCCGCAACGAGCGCAACCCUUGAUCUUAGUUGCCAUCAUUAAGUUGGGCACUCUAAGGUGACUGCCGGUGACAAACCGGAGGAAGGUGGGGAUGACGUCAAAUCAUCAUGCCCCUUAUGACCUGGGCUACACACGUGCUACAAUGGACGGUACAAAGAGCUGCAAGACCGCGAGGUGGAGCUAAUCUCAUAAAACCGUUCUCAGUUCGGAUUGUAGGCUGCAACUCGCCUACAUGAAGCUGGAAUCGCUAGUAAUCGCGGAUCAGCAUGCCGCGGUGAAUACGUUCCCGGGGUGGGAGAAAUCCCGAAAA